GACGAAGGUGGCGAGCGUUGUUCGGAAUCACUGGGCAUAAAGCGCACGUAGGCGGCGGCGUAAGUUGGAUGUGAAAUCCCCCGGCCCAACCGGGGAACUGCGUCCAGUACUGCGUUGCUUGAGGAUCCAAGGGGUGCAUGGAAUUCCCGGUGGAGCGGUGAAAUGCGUUGAUAUCAGAAGGAACGCCGGUGGCGAAAGCGACGGACUGGAUAUCUUCUGACGCUGAGGCGCGAAAGCUAGGGGAGCAAACGGG
rnacentral:rRNA from 1 species